rnacentral:rRNA from 1 species
AUUGAACGCUGGCGGCAGGCCUAACACAUGCAAGUCGAACGAGUGGCGGACGUGUGAGUAAUGUCUGGGAAACUGCCCGAUGGAGGGGGAUAACUACUGGAAACGGUAGCUACUACCGCAUACUCUCGGAUGCGCCCAGAUGGGAGUAGCUAGUAGGUGGGGUAACGGCUCACCUAGGCGACGAUCCCUAGCUGGUCUGAGAGGAUGACCAGCAACACGGGAACUGAGAAACGGUCCAGACUCCUACGGGAGGCAGCAGUGGGGAAUAUUGCACAAUGGGCGAAAGCCUGAUGCAGCCAUGCCGCGUGUGUGAAGAAGGCCUUCGGGUUGUAAAGAACUUUCAGCGAGGAGGCGUUACUCGCAGAAGAAGCACCGGCUAACUCCGUGCCAGCAGCCGCGGUAAUAC